GGCCAGACUCCUACGGGAGGCAGCAGUGGGGGAUAUUGCACAAUGGGGGGAACCCUGAUGCAGCGACGCCGCGUGGGUGAAGGAGUAUUUCGGUAUGUAAAGCCCUAUCGGCAGGGAAGAAGCAAGACGGUACCUGACUAAGAAGCCCCGGCUAACUACGUGCCAGCAGCCGCGGUAAUACGUAGGGGGCAAGCGUUAUCCGGAUUUACUGGGUGUAAAGGGGGCGCAGACGGCAGCGCAAGCCAGGAGUGAAAGCCCGGGGCCCAACCCCGGGACUGCUCUUGGAACUGCGGGGCUGGAGUGCAGGAGGGGCAGGCGGAAUUCCUGGUGUAGCGGUGAAAUGCGUAGAUAUCAGGAGGAACACCGGUGGCGAAGGCGGCCUGCCGGACCGUAACUGACGUUGAGGCUCGAAAGCGUGGGGAGCAAACAGGAUUAGAUACCCUAGUAAAC
rnacentral:rRNA from 1 species